AUUGAACGCUGGCGGCAGGCUUAACACAUGCAAGUCGAGCGGGGGAGGUUGCUUCGGUAACUGACCUAGCGGCGGACGGGUGAGUAAUACUUAGGAAUCUGCCUAUUAAUGGGGGACAACAUCUCGAAAGGGAUGCUAAUACCGCAUACGCCCUACGGGGGCAAGCAGGGGAUCACUUGUGACCUUGCGUUAAUAGAUGAGCCUAAGUCGGAUUAGCUAGUUGGUGGGGUAAAGGCCUACCAAGGCGACGAUCUGUAGCGGGUCUGAGAGGAUGAUCCGCCACACUGGGACUGAGACACGGCCCAGACUCCUACGGGAGGCAGCAGUGGGGAAUAUUGGACAAUGGGGGGAACCCUGAUCCAGCCAUGCCGCGUGUGUGAAGAAGGCCUUAUGGUUGUAAAGCACUUUAAGCGAGGAGGAGGCUCUUUUGGUUAAUACCCAAGAUGAGUGGACGUUACUCGCAGAAUAAGCACCGGCUAACUCUGUGCCAGCAGCCGCAGUAACAC
rnacentral:rRNA from 1 species